AAUAACUUUUUUAACAUACUGUCGGGGGGUUACUUUCCACUUUAAAUAUUUUUUUGUGAAAGUGAUUAAUGGAUCAGCGCGGUCGAGUACUUGGCCAAAUGGAGACUAUCCGUAAUCGAGAGCAGCACUAUGCGAAAGAUUGUGAGAUGGUGGGAGGAUCGAAAACAGUUCAUUCUAUAGACAAAUAUAAAGGAAAGGAAGAGGCUAUAAGAAUAAUAGGAAAUAAAGAUCACAAAAAAUCGAUGUUUUAAUUCGUUUUUUAUACAAGACCAACUAUUUCGAUCGUUAGAGUGUAUAUAUGUGCAUUAUCUGCAGCCUUUCAUGAUUUGUAUUUAGCUGUGUUAAUGGAUCUGUUUAAUCAGCACAAUCAAACGCAAAUAAUUAAUCUCUUUUUAGCCAUGAGAAUUUAAUCAGACAGAAAUAUAGAUUUUAUUUGAAGAAUGCAAUGUAUAAGUAAUAUAAAUUAUUUUAAUAUAGUCUCUGAAUAUAUUAAAGUAUAAUUUUCUCAUUUUAACUUUAAGUAUAUCUUUCUUAAGUUUAAAUUAUUGAACUUUAAAAUUUACAUAAAUAUAUUUUGCGAUAAUAUAUUUAAGAAAAGCAAUUUUUAUAAUUUGGAAAAAUGAAUGUAUAUUAUAUAUGAUAUAAGACAUAAUAUAUAUAUUGGGUCUGUUCUUUAUAGCUGAACUGACAAUGAGUUGAACUGCUGCACUAGUUUAGAAUUUAUCUUUCUCCUUCCAAUGUGGAGAGAAAGAGAUAGUAUCUUUUAGUAUCUUUGAUAUUUUUAGGGAACAUUUGUGCAUUAUAUAAAUAUUAUAUCCAUUUAUUGUUAUGUCAUCACAUAUUUAUGCUUCAGUUUCUAUGUCUUGUAUUAUAAAAUAAUAAUGUAAUAAAGUUGAAUUUCUCUGUAUAU